rnacentral:rRNA from 1 species
AAAGGAAGGGGAGGGGCCCCACCCGAGCGGCAGAGUAUGUAAUUUAAUUCGAAGCGAAGAGAAGAACCAAGUCAGGCCUUGACAUGAAACAAAUUCCCUAGAGAUAGGGGGAUAGACAGGGUCACCCAGUGGGUGCAUGGUGUUGUUCAGCUGUGUUCGUGAGAUGUGGGGUAAAGUCCCGCAACGAGCGCAACCCUAUCCGCAUGUUACAGCGGUCAAGUUGGGCACUCUGAGGAGACUGCCGGGGACAACCCGGAGGAAGGUGGGGAUGACGUCAAAUCAUCAUGCCCCUUAUGACUUGGGCUACACACGUGCUACAAUGGCGUCCACAAAGAGCAGGAGAGGGUGACAAGAAGCAAAUCCCAAAAAGGUCGUCUCAGUUCGGAUUGAAGUCUGCAACUCGACUUCAUGAAGUCGGAAUCGCUAGUAAUCGCGGAUCAGAAUGCCGCGGUGAAUACGUUCCCGGGCCUUGUACACACCGCCCGUC